UACGUAGGGGGCAAGCGUUGUCCGGAUUUAUUGGGCGUAAAGAGCGUGUAGGCGGCCUGGAAGGUCAGCUGUGAAAACUCGAGGCUCAACCUCGAGACGUCGGUUGAAACCACCUGGCUAGAGUCCGGAAGAGGAGUGUGGAAUUCCCGGUGUAGCGGUGAAAUGCGCGGAUAUCGGGAAGAACACCCGUGGCGAAGGCGGCACUCUGGGACGGUACUGACGCUGAGACGCGAAAGCGUGGGGAGCGAACAGG
rnacentral:rRNA from 1 species